rnacentral:rRNA from 1 species
UACGGAGGGUGCAAGCGUUGUUCGGAUUUACUGGGCGUAAAGCGCGCGCAGGUGGGUGAACAAGUCGGAAGUGAAAUCUUGAGGCUCAACCUCGAGGCUGCUCCCCGAAAACUGUUCGUCUAGGGACUGGUAGAGGCUGGUAGAAUUCCCGGUGUAGCGGUGGAAUGCGUAGAGAUCGGGAAGAAUACCCGUGGCCGAAGGCGGC